UACGUAGGGCGCAAGCGUUGUCCGGAAUUAUUGGGCGUAAAGAGCUCGUAGGUGGUGUGUCGCGUCUGCCGUGAAAGCCCGGGGCUUAACUCCGGGUCUGCGGUGGAUACGGGGCAGACUAGAGGUAUUCAGGGGAGAACGGAAUUCCUGGUGUAGCGGUGAAAUGCGCAGAUAUCAGGAGGAACACCGGUGGCGAAGGCGGUUCUCUGGGAAUGACCUGACGCUGAGGAGCGAAAGUGUGGGGAGCGAACAGG
rnacentral:rRNA from 1 species